rnacentral:tRNA from 1 species
GGGAAUGUGGCUCAAUGGUAGAGUGUUUGCCUAGCAUGCAUGAGGACCUGAGUUCAGUCCCCAGACUUGCCA